GAUGAAGAACGUAGCGAAAUGCGAUAAGUAAUGUGAAUUGCAGAAUUCAGUGAAUCAUCGAAUCUUUGAACGCACAUUGCGCCCGCCAGCACUCUGGCGGGCAUGCCUGUUGGAGCGUCAUUUCAACCAUCAAGCCCCCAGGGGCUUGUGCUGGGGCCCUGCGGCUGCCCGCAGGCCCUGAAAACCAGUGGCGGGCUCGCUAGUCACACCGAGCGCAGUAGCACAUCUCGCUCAGGGCGUGCGGCGGGCUCCUGCCGUGAAACCCCCCACUGUAACCCCAAAGGUUGACCUCGGAUCAGGUAGGAAUACCCGCUGAACUUAAGCAUAUCAAUAAGCGGAGGA
rnacentral:misc_RNA from 1 species